rnacentral:rRNA from 1 species
GACGAACGCUGGCGGCGUGCUUAACACAUGCAAGUCGAGCGGAAAGGCCACUUCGGUGGUACUCGAGCGGCGAACGGGUGAGUAACACGUGAGUAAUCUGCCCUUGGCUUUGGGAUAGCCACCGGAAACGGUGAUUAAUACCGGAUACGACCACUUCUCGCAUGGGAUGGUGGUGGAAAGUUUUUCGGCCAGGGAUGUGCUCGCGGCCUAUCAGCUUGAUGGUGAGGUAAUGGCUCACCAUGGCUUCGACGGGUAGCCGGCCUGAGAGGGUGACCGGUCACACUGGGACUGAGACACGGCCCAGACUCCUACGGGAGGCAGCAGUGGGGAAUAUUGGACAAUGGGCGGAAGCCUGAUCCAGCAACGCCGCGUGAGGGAUGACGGCCUUCGGGUUGUAAACCUCUUUCGCCUGUGACAAAGCGCAAGUGACGGUAGGUGCAGAAGAAGGACCGGCCAACUACGUGCCAGCCGCCGCGGUAACAC